rnacentral:rRNA from 1 species
UACGUAGGGUGCAAGCGUUGUCCGGAAUUAUUGGGCGUAAAGAGCUCGUAGGCGGCUUGUCGCGUCGUCCGUGAAAACCUGCAGCUCAACUGCAGGCUUGCGGUCGAUACGGGCAGGCUAGAGUUCGGUAGGGGAGACUGGAAUUCCUGGUGCAGCGGUGGAAAUGCGCAGAUAUCAGGAGGAACACCGGUGGCGAAGGCGGGUCUCUGGGCCGAUACUGACGCUGAGGAGCGAAAGCGUGGGGAGCGAACAGG